ensembl:snoRNA U3 Small nucleolar RNA U3
AAGACUAUACUUUCAGGGAUCAUUUCUGUAGUUCAGUACUAGAGAAGUUUUUCUGGACAUGUAGAGUAUCAGAAACCAGGAAGACCUACAGCAUCCUCUCCUGAGUGUGAAGCCGGCUCUUGGUGCUGCUUCAUUGCAACCUCCAUUUACCGUUGGUGAUAAUUUUUCUCCUUGGGAGAGUUAGAGGGGAAAGACACCAACUGAGUGCU